UAUUUUUGUUGUUUUAAAUAUUAUUUUUUUUUAUUUAAUUUUUAUUUAAAAGUUAUUUAUUUGUUUAUUACUAUUAUAAUUAAAUAUUUUUUUUUUUAGUUUAUUUUACUGUUAGGGAGUUUUAUUUUAUCUUUUAAUAGGUUAUUUUUUUUUAUUACCUUUUGUAUCAGGGUUAAUUAAUUUUUUUUAUUUAUUUUUUUUUCCCGAAAAUUUAAGAUCUAAUUUAUUUUGUAUUUUAUUGUGUUAUAAAUAUUUAUAAAUUUAUUUUAGUUUUGACAUGAAAUUCGAUUAAUUUUUUAUCUGGUUAUCUGGUAAUUUAAUUUAAUUAAGGAUUUUUUUUGUUGUGAUAUUUAUUUUUUUUUUUCAUUUAAAUUUCUACUAUUUAGGGGGAUAAGCUCUUAAUUUUUAUAUAAUUUUCUUUUUUUGUUUUUUUGUAGGUUUGAAAUCUGCCAUCAUUUUAAGUUCGUUAAUGAUUAGAUUUAAAAUGUUAUUUUAUUUUUAUUUUUUUACUUGAUUUUUUUUAUUAAUUUUUUUGAAUUAAAUAAUGAUUAAAUUAGUAAAAUUUAAUAUUUUUUUUAUGAACUUGGCAAAUUUUUAUUUUCACCUGUUUAACAAAAACAUGUCUUUUUGAUUUUAUAAUAAGUCUGGCCUGCUCAAUGAUUAGUUUUAAAUAGCCGCAGUAUUUUGACUGUGCAAAGGUAGCAUAAUAAUUAGUCUUUUAAUUGGGGUCUGGUAUGAAUGGUUAAAUGAGAAAUAUACUUUAUUUGAUAAAAUUUUUUUAAUUUCUAUUUUUGGUUAAAAUACCAAAAUAUUUAAGAGGGACGAUAAGACCCUAUAGAUUUUAAUAAUUUAAUUAAUAAUUUCAUUUUUGUUGUUUUUUUUUUAUUAGUUAGUUUUUUUUGUUGGGGUGAUAAUAAAAAUUUUAAACUUUUAUUUUUUUUUACAUUUGUUUUUGAUUUUUUGAUCCUUAAUUUUUGAUUAUAAGAUAAAAAUACCUUAGGGAUAACAGCAUAAUUUAUUUGGAGAGUUCAAAUCAAUAAAUAAAGUUUGUGACCUCGAUGUUGGAUUAAAAUGAGUCUGUGGUGCAGGAUUUACAGGUCUGGGUCUGUUCGACCUUUAAAAUUUUACAUGAUCUGAGUUCAGACCGGCGUGAGCCAGGUUGGUUUCUAUCUUCUUAUUUUUUUUUUUAAUUAGUACGAAAGGACUUUUAAAUAGUAAAAUUUAUU
rnacentral:rRNA from 1 species